ACCUGUGAAGUGUACAUACAAAAUAAUAAAAUAUGUUAAUAAUCUUUCGAUGAUAACCACUUUUUCGAAAUAUUUUAUUUUACUUUUCAUCGAAGUUAAAUGUAACUACUAUAUUAAACUUGAUAAAGUUUUUGUUUUUAAUGAGUAUAUGAUACUUCCAGAAGAUCGUUUAAAUUUAAUAUUUUUUUUCAUUUAAUAACCAUCGUAUUAUUUGAUCAAUACUUGGAUACAGAGUUUACGGUUAAAAAACAUAAAGAUUGAACGGCUACGACAGUGCUGAGACUGCUUACGACCAUAUUGGAAUAAAUUAUUUUUACGUUACGAGUAAUAUAUGCGUGCGAGAAUGGGACGUGAUAGUUAACACGCUUAAGUUACGCAUAGAUGGCAGCACAUAAUACACAAUAGCAUCGCAAUAAAAACACUCCGCGGGAAGACUGAAUCGUAGCCGUGU